GAUGAACGCUGGCGGCGUGCCUAAUACAUGCAAGUCGAGCGAACAGACGAGGAGCUUGCUCCUCUGACGUUAGCGGCGGACGGGUGGGUAACACGUGGAUAACCUACCUAUAAGACUGGGAUAACUUCGGGAAAUCGGAGCUAAUACCGGAUAAUAUAUUGAACCGCAUGGUUCAAUAGUGAAAGACGGUUUUGCUGUCACUUAUAGAUGGAUCCGCGCCGCAUUAGCUAGUUGGUAAGGUAACGGCUACCAAGGCAACGAUGCGUAGCCGACCUGAGAGGGUGAUCGGCCACACUGGAACUGAGACACGGUCCAGACUCCUACGGGAGGCAGCAGUAGGGAAUCUUCCGCAAUGGGCGAAAGCCUGACGGAGCAACGCCGCGUGAGUGAUGAAGGUCUUCGGAUCGUAAAACUCUGUUAUUAGGGAAGAACAAAUGUGUAAGUAACUAUGCACGUCUUGACGGUACCUAAUCAGAAAGCCACGGCUAACUACGUG
rnacentral:rRNA from 1 species